rnacentral:rRNA from 1 species
GACGUAGGGCGCGAGCGUUGUCCGGAUUUAUUGGGCGUAAAGAGCUCGUAGGCGGCUUGUUGCGUCGACUGUGAAAACCCGCGGCUUAACUGCGGGCUUGCAGUUGAUACGGGCAGGCUAGAGUUCGGUAGGGGAGACUGGAAUUCCUGGUGUAGCGGUGAAAUGCGCAGAUAUCAGGAGGAACACCGGUGGCGAAGGCGGGUCUCUGGGCCAUUACUGACGCUGAGGAGCGAAAGCGUGGGGAGCGAACAGG